AUAGAAAUCAGCUCGGAACUUGUUAAAAUGCAGAUUCUUAUUCAGUAUGUCUUGAGAAGGAGGGAAACUGAAAUUUUACAUUUCUAACAAGGUCUCAGGUGCUGCCAAU
rnacentral:miRNA from 1 species